rnacentral:rRNA from 1 species
CCUACGGGAGACAGCAGUGAGGAAUAUUGGUCAAUGGGCGGGAGCCUGAACCAGCCAAGUCGCGAGAGGGAAGACGGUCCUACGGAUUGUAAACCUCUUUUGCCGGGGAGCAACGGGGUCCUUGCGAGGGCCCAAUGAGAGUACCCGGAGAAAAAGCAUCGGCUAACUCCGUGCCAGCAGCCGCGGUAAUACGGAGGCUGCGAUCGUUAUCCGGAUUUCUGGGGUUAAAGGGGUGCGUAGGCGGGCUGUUAAGUCAGCGGUAAAAUGUCGGGGCUCAACCCCGGCCUGCCGUUGAAACUGGUGGCAUCGAGUGGGCGAGAAGUAUGCGGAAUGCGUGGUGUAGCGGUGAAAUGCAUAGAUAUCACGCAGAACUCCGAUUGCGAAGGCAGCAUACCGGCGCCCUACUGACGCUGAGGCACGAAAGCGUGGGUAUCGAACAGGAUUAGAUACCCCUGUAGUC